UCCUUCUUCCUUCUUACUUCUUCCUUCUUGGUCCAUAGUUAAUCUUUGACUCUCAGAUUAUUUGCUUCUUCUUUUUUUCUUCUUUUGUUGUCAUUUUUCUUCGUUCUAUAUCUUUUACUUCCUCUCUCCUCCAGUCGCUCUCACCCUCAAAAACCAGAUCGAAAAACAUACCAAACACCAAACAACCAAAUCUGAAUCGUACCUUCGCCAUCCGUUUCGUCUUCCUUCUCUCUUAGCCUCUCACAUCCUGCUUCAUUUCCUAUGAAACCAAUCUUGGCCCAAAAUCCGUAAUACCCAAAUCAAAAAACCUAACACCUCAGCCCCAAAUACCUCCUCCAAUCUCACUUGCUCUCUCGACUUCUUGCUUAGCAAUCAGUUGCUUGUCGCACUCGAUUUCUGUACUUGCAAUCGAAAUCUUGUGGCUCGUUAGCAAUUGAAAGGGGCUUCUGGGGCGGAAGAGGAUUGCGCAUAUUGGGUCCAAGAAAGCUGAGAGAGGUAGUGAUGGCUCUUCUAUGGAAGGAAGAAGGUCUGGCCUUGUGCAUGAGAGUUCUUCUUCACAGAUUCGAGUUUCAGCUGUCCUGACAAAUGGUGCAUAUCUUUUGAACGUCGAUUGUGAUCACUACUUCAAUAACAGUAAAGCUGUUAAGGAAGCAAUGUGUUUCAUGAUGGACCCAGAUUAUGGGAAGAAGACCUGCUAUGUACAGUUCCCACAAGAAGAGGGCUGCUCUUAGUUCUUUUAAUUUGAGAUUCCAGGGCUCUUCAGAGAAAUUCAACCGAAGCUAUGAUGGAGGCAAGGGUUGUUGAUAUUCUAAAUGCAAUGGAACCACUUGCAUAUAGGAAAAUGGACUUUGAAGAAUUUUGUGCUGCUGCAAUUAGCACGCAUCAAUUGGAGGCCCUCGAAGGAUGGGAGCAGAUAGCAUCUACUGCUUUUUAAUUUGAGAUUCCAGGGCUGUCAAAAGAACUGAAUCGACCAUUCCCAUUUUCAAUAUGGAAGACAUUGACGAGUUAAGGUGAAGGAAAUCAACUAUUAUCAAUUAAACCUGAAGCCUUUGCUGAACUGAAGGUGAAGGAAAUCAAGAAUGGGCGGUUGGCAAUGACCUCAAUAUUUGGAUUCUUUGUUCAGGCUAUUGUAACUGGAAAAGGGCCAGUUGAGAACCUCUAUGACCACGUUGCUGAUCCCGUGGCCAACAAUGACCUCAAUGUUUGGAUUCUUUGUUCAUUCUUUUUUCUUUGUUCAGCUUCUUUUUGCUUGAACAACUUCUUUGUUUAUUGGCCAAAAGAAAAGAAAAGAAUACAAGAAAAAAGAAAAAAGAGAACUGUUUAUUUGUCUAAAUGCGGUGCACAUUCAGGUGCUCAUGUCAACAGAUGCAUGCUUUACUGCAAUUUAGGUAUAUCUAAACUAGAAUAAAUUAAGCAGACUGCUUCUAAAUGUCAAAACAGAAGUGAAUAAAAAUUCAAAACCAUGUUAUUAUCA